UUAAAGGAAUUGACGGAAGGGCACCACCAGGAGUGGAGCCUGCGGCUUAAUUUGACUCAACACGGGAAACCUCACCAGGCCCGGACACCAGAAGGAUUGACAGAUUAAGAGCUCUUUCUCGAUUUGGUGGGUGGUGGUGCAUGGCCGUUCUUAGUUGGUGGAGUGAUUUGUCUGGUUAAUUCCGGUAACGAACGAGACUCUGGCCUACUAAAUAGUCGACGGGCGUUUUGGUGCAUGGGCCCCGUUCGACACAGUCUUCUUAGAGGGAUGAGCAGCGAGUAUAGCUGCAGGAGAUUGAGCAAUAACAGGUCUGUGAUGCCCUUAGAUGUCCUGGGCCGCACGCGCGCUACACUGAAUGGGUUAGCGGGUUGUCCUUCUCCGAGAGGAGCGGGAAAUCGCUUGAAAACCAUUCGUGAUAGGGAUUGGGGCUUGCAAUUGUUUCCCAUGAACGAGGAAUUCCCAGUAAGCGCAAGUCAUCAGCUUGCGUUGAUUAAGUCCCUGCCCUUUGUACACACCGCCCGUCGCUACUACCGAUUGAAUGAUUUAGUGAGGCCUUCGGACUGGCGGUCUUGGACUGGGGCGCCGGCGUUCUCCAGCAAUGGGGUGCCGGCGACCCGCCUAGACGGGCCGGAAAGAUGUCCAAACUUGAUCAUUUAGAGGAAGUAAAAGUCGUAACAAGGUUUCC
rnacentral:rRNA from 1 species